rnacentral:misc_RNA from 1 species
UUUCCGUAGGUGAACCUGCGGAAGGAUCAUUACAGAGUUCAUGCCCGAAAGAUAAGACCUCCCACCCUUGUGUAUUAUCACUUUGUUGCUUUGGCGAUAGCAUGCUGGGCUAAGAAUAACAAAACUCUUUUUAUAAAUGUCGUCUGAGUAAUAUAUAAUAGUUAAAACUUUCAACUACGGAUCUCUUGGUUCUG